UAUCGCCUUGAUUGACAUAUGCAAAGUGCUAGCCCAAGUUGUAGGGCAGUGGUCACGAUAAACGUUCCGCAACAGCGCUUAACAUGUCAUUAAAACUAGUUUAGUUUUUGUCAUUAUGUUAUUUGCAAGCUAAACGUAACCAUUGUGUAAUAUUUCCAAGUCAUCUCAGCUGGUGCUCCAUCACUGUCAACUGAUGUUUUGUGGAAAUCUCGCGAGCAGGAGAUGUACUGCUCUCAUCAAGUUCUACAUCCGCAACAUUCAGAAGUGUUCACUGGGUCCGAAGGUCCUACGCCAAGAAGGUUCGACAGCCCCAAGCAGAUGACCCGUGGAAGAGAAAAGCCUGUUUGAAAAUGGAAAUGAGCAAAUUCCCCAUCUUUACGAUGUGAAGUCACAUAAUAAAACGGCAAGCCGACAGAGAGUUCGUUCAGAAAAUAGACUCAACCGCGGAAUAGCUUUUCCUCGAUGGCGUUAGCUGAAGUUCACCAAGGGGAUGAAAGGCGACACAGAGUUGCUGCCGCGUUCUCUAUUAGUCCAGUCAGCAACGUUACCUCUAGCUGUCCAUCUGGCUACAACUGGCUGCGCCCAAGAGUAUUACUUGCCCUCAUAGCAUAGGUGAGUGGGCGGGGUUGAGGACGGAGGCAGAGACCUCUUCGAUUGGAAACGAACGGACCGCAGCAAGGCUAAAAAUCCUGCGUAGUACGCCUUUAAGAUUCACUGACAGAAACCCGUUUUAAUUUUUUCAUUUUUUUUUUAUUUCGGAAAAUGCGAAACGAGCGAGGCCCCCAGCUGUCCCAGCACCUGCGCGUUUCAGACUCCGGGCCUUUGUUGCCGAGCCCGCUGCCCGGGACACAUUUAGCGACGCGCGCUUCCUCCCGCCCCCCUCACCGACCGCCUCGCAGAGACGCCCCGGUCACGCCGCCAUCGCUCCACUUCCUGGAUUUCCUGUCAGGAAAUCUGAAUGGGGGGGACUCAUUACUUGGGGGAGUCCUCAUUGAAAUCUGUGAAUAGGCCAUCAGACCGGAGCGGAGAGCUGUAUUACGCACCCCACCCCCGUGCCUGUUCUGCUUCUUCUCGGCGUCGAAGCGAACGGAGCCCGGAGAUGGAUUAUGUUGUAUCUUGAGGGUGCUUGUGUUUCUCCGCUCCCCCUCGGCUCGGCGCGGCCGCCGUCUCUACGGCGACGGCGGCGCUCAGACGGGCGUUUCUGGCCGGUGCGGCCGACACGCUCGUGGCAGAAGCGGCUGCCUUGCUCCUCGCGAUUCCGUCUUUCGCAGACGUGCAUUUGCGCAGUUUAAACAAUUCCACCGAAUUGCUGUAGAUGGCUAACAUCAGAGAUGUCUUUUUUUAUCAAACUGCUGGGGUUAAAGAGGGUGAUAUUGCAGCUUGUUGCAGUAUGAGAUGCACUACGUUUGUGAAAACGUUUCAGACGGUGCAUUUUUCACUUCACUUCACUUCCUGUUCCUCUAUUCAUUCCCUACUUCCUGUCUUAAAAAAAAAUACAAGUAUUUACUCCAAGUUAACUACUUUAGUUGCGUCACAUCGCAUUUAGUUGCACCAUUUUCUUUUCUAACAUAAAGAAACCUUUUUAUAUUUUUGUGACAGGCAGAAGCUGCCUCUGCACACUCAGUACAAAGUAAUCUGAGAAUAGGGGUGUUUUUCUUUCUCUCGUCCCCCAUUACAUAAAUAGCGGCGGUUUCUCGCUUCCUGCACGGUAAAUAUCGAUCGGCGUUUUUGAUUGCGUCCACGCGAAGGAGAAGCCAGGCGCGGGAGCCGUCGCAAGAGGCCGCGGGGA